GACGAAGGAUGCAAGCGUUAUCCGGAUUCAUUGGGUUUAAAGGGUGCGUAGGCGGACUUGUAAGUCAGUGGUGAAAUCUCUCAGCUUAACUGAGAAACUGCCAUUGAUACUGCAGGUCUAGAGUAUAGAUGACGUUGGCGGAAUAUGACAUGUAGUGGUGAAAUACUUAGAUAUGUCAUAGAACACCGAUUGCGAAGGCAGCUAACGAAACUAUAAACUGACGGCUGAGGCACGAAAGUGCGGGGAUCAAACAGGA
rnacentral:rRNA from 1 species